GCGGCUACCAUGCAGUCGAGCGGAACGAGUUAUCUGAACCUUCGGGGAACGAUAACGGCGUCGAGCGGCGGACGGGUGAGUAAUGCCUAGGAAAUUGCCUUGAUGUGGGGGAUAACCAUUGGAAACGAUGGCUAAUACCGCAUAAUGCCUACGGGCCAAAGAGGGGGACCUUCGGGCCUCUCGCGUCAAGAUAUGCCUAGGUGGGAUUAGCUAGUUGGUGAGGUAAUGGCUCACCAAGGCGACCAUCCCUAGCUGGUCUGAGAGGAUGAUCUAUCACUCUGGAAC
rnacentral:rRNA from 1 species